rnacentral:misc_RNA from 1 species
GCCGAGGUUUGCGUAAUGAGUGGCUGGGGUCCACGCGACACCACCCGGGCGGAGUCCUGCGCGAUUUUACGGCCGUGUCUUGAGUCACGGCUCAGACGCGACGGGGGAAAUAGACUGAACCCCGAAUUCUGCACGGAGUUGCAGACAUGGCGAAGGUGGAGCCGAGGUUACUCCUCAAGGGAUUCCUUUUUCUUUCUUUCUUUUGGUAGAGAGAGGCAGCGAGAUAUCGGGAUGAGUACCCCCGAGGGGAAGGAAGGCGCGGGCCCCAACGGCCAGCCGCCGCAAUCAUGGGUACAGUUCGAGGAGGAGGACGGGAACCAGCAGGCGCCGCCGUCAAGGGCUGACAGCACGCCCGCGGUCAUCGAUGCGCAGGCCGUCCAGGUGAGCCUGGAGAACCACAACACAGACAAAAAUGUUUCAAGAACAGUCUCAGAACCAGUCAAUGGAGUGCGUAAAACUUCAGUAACCUCACCAACAACACCCUCCAGUAUCACUUCUGAUACACGAGUCACAAUGUCACAACUCAGCCCUGCACAGCUUCAUAAUGUACCUCUACAUGACCCUUCAGCGCGGCCACCUGCCAAUGCUCAGCCUGUGAUUAGACAAGGAUUCUCAAAUGGGGACGUAAUUGUGACGUUAUUACCCCAGAACACUUCCCUGCCAUGGAUUACUCCAGCACAGUUCAGGCCAGAACUUGUGCCUGAAGAGCUGAUGGCUCAAGGCCUCACUCUUACAGUUGAGGACUACGUUCAUAUAAUGUCUCAGCUGGUCAAUGACUACCGUUUCACCCUGUAUAACGUGUGCUACAAGCGUAUCCUCAUGGCCUGGAUCAUCUUGGGUUUUGUUAUUCUCUUGGGUAUCCUCUUCUCAGGCCUGACUCAGUUAGAAUUAUUUGGUGCUGGAAUUGGUUGGCUGAUGGUUAAUGCAGCCGCGAUAUUUUUCUGUAUGUGGGUGAAGAUACAGCUGAACAAAUCAUUAGAACGUUGCAUUGCUGGAAUCAACCUUCAGCUUCUGAGACAUAAGAUUCUAUUAGGUCUAGAUGACCGAGGGAAACUCUCAUGCCACAAGGUCAAUCUUUGCUUCAUCUAUUUUGAUACGCAUGAUUGUGUGGCCAAGUUGCAAGAGAUUAUUGAGCAAGAAGAACGGGCUGGACGUACUGUGAAUAGUGAAGAGGCCAAGAUGUCCCCUCUUCACCAGCGCAUGGAUAUUGAUGACUCCGACAUUAUAAUCACAGGAGCAACCAACACACGCAUCUCAAGGCAACAAGAGAAAGCGGAACUUUUACUCACUCGGUACAGCCAGCGCUGGGCCAAGGACUUCCUUCGCAAGAGACUGGACUGGGCCUUUGAUGCAUCAGCAAGGUUGGAGGGUCUUUCUCCUCCAGUUUUGCCCCGUCACCUGGCCUCUGCCCGUUGCCUCUGCCAGUACAUUGAGGAGCAUCUGUCAGUCAAACUUCCACGCCAACAGCGGGCUUCCCGUGAACACUGUGCUUGCAUAACACAGUUCUGCCAAGAUGCCGAGCUAUAGAUAAAUAUAUUGGGCUCUGUUUCAAAGGAAGGGAAUUUAUUUUGAUAAAAUAUUACUUUUUUUGUAGAGUAAAAAAUGUAAAGGAAAAGUGGUAAAGAGAAUGAAUAACAAGUUUAGAAAAAAGAAAGCCCAAUUUUCCAGGUGUAUUAUGAAAAAUAUUUAUCCCUCUCUGGGUAUCAAUAUUACUGCAUGGUUUGAUAUUACAAUAUUGAUAUGCUGUAAUUUUCUAUCUAUUGCACUUCCAAAUAUUUGUAAGAAUCAAGAAUAUUACCUAAUUAUAUCAAGGGAGGCAUAUUUCAUAUAAAUAUAUUUUUAAAGUAUAUAUCAAAAAUAUUCUUAAUCUCAUAGUAAGAACUUAUCAUAGGGGCAUUGAACCAAACUGACUAUGGUAUGGUAGGUUUAUGUAAAUAUAUAUUUUUUCCAAUCUCAGCAGGUAGAUAUAUUGUUCUCAGAUGAUACAUUACAUUCCACUCAAAGCAUUCCUUCAAAAGUAUAUAAUGAACUGUAUUUGGUUACACAUAUACCACAGGCAUACACUCAUACUUGCAAACACUUUCAUGAUACAGGAUAUACAUAUUUAUUACAUUUGCAUGCAUAAUUUGACAGAUAUGAUUGCUAUUCAAGCUAAGGAAUCUAUGCAUGCUGAAACAAAUAUAUUCAGUCUUGAGCAUGAGUGCACACUGAAACUCUUUCUGUGAUUAUUUCUACCUAUUUGCUCUGUGAUCAGGAACUUCAUUCAUUCCAAUGUAAUAAAGAUCUGUUAGAAGUUCAUGUUAGUUUGUUCAAUUUUGCCACAUAAUUAUUUCUUUAAUUAGUAGCUAGUAAUUUCUUAUAGUUAUUUUUCUUCUACCUAGUAUAUUAUUGUGAUAUGAUAUCUUGUUGUACUGCAUUAUUUUGAUAUGUGAAUCAUUCUGCAACACAUCAUUAAUCAUACUGAUUUAUGGGAUAUCAUAAAGGUGUUGGUAAUUUUUGAAUUGACGUAAUGAGAUCAGUUUUGCUCAUGCAGACACCUAGUGAAACCUUAGGAAGAUUAGUCUUAUAUUGAUAUGCUCUUUCAUCAGCUUUGUUAUCUGUCUUAUCUUGACUAAUAUUUCUUAACACUGGUCUGGCAUGGCAGUAGCGUGGUUUGGCUGAAGGUGCAAAUCCAAUAUGUAAAUGGUAUUGCAACAUUUAUUCUGUCUUUUAAGUACAAUUCAUAUAGCAAUUGUUCCCGUAUUUUUACAGGAAACAGUUACUGGAAUUGUACUUAUAAGACUUCAAGUAUAAGAUAUAGUAAAGGUUUUAAAGCCUGGAAAAUUUGUGGUAGAUAGGGCCAUCUUAAGUGCAUUGUAAAUACAUGAAUUACUAAAUAACAUUUGUAAUGAUGAUUACUUUGAAAGCCCAUAUAAAAAAAAAAAAAAAAAAAAUCAACCUUGGCCCAGAGCUGACCACACAGUGAAAUUUGGUAAAAGGAAAAGGACAGAGCACGUAUUCUACUAGCCCGAUAUAGUCAACGUUGGGUGAAAGGAGUGGCUCGAGGGUCUCUAUCAAUAACCACUGAUGCAAGUGACUCUACCAGUCCUCCUUCAUUACCCCCUCGCCACAGUUCCUCCAAACAGUGCCUGUGCCAGUACAUUGAAGAUCACCUCCACUACAAGCC